AAAAUCUAAAUAAAAAUCAGUAAAAACAAGGAUUAGAUACCCUUUUAUUUGAAUUUGAAAUUUAAGGUAUUAAAAGUUAUAUUCUAAAAACUUAAAGGAUAUGGCGGUGUUUAAUUAUUUAGAGGAACCUGUUUAUUAAAUUGUAAGUACACAAUGUAUUUUACCUAAUUAAUAGUUUGUAUACCAUUGUCCUGUAAUGUUUAAAAAAGUGUUACAUAUAUUAAAAAAUAUAUUAGGUCAGAUCUAGGUGCAAUUAAAUAGGAUUAGAUAGGUUACAAUUUAUAAAUAAUUAGAAAUAUUAUUAAAAAAAUAUUUAAAUUGAAUUUAAAAGUAAUUAUAAUAAUUAGUAAGAAAUAAUGAAUAUUUUUAAACAAGUACAUAUUGCCCGUCGCUCUCUUCAGUGUUUAUCUGAAA
rnacentral:rRNA from 1 species